UGAAGUUUCAGGAUGGAUGCACUUAGUGGCGGACGGGUGAGUAACGCGUGGGUACCUGCCUCACACUGGGGGAUAACAGUUAGAAAUAGCUGCUAAUACCGCAUAAGUCCGCAUGGAAAAAACUCCGGUGGUGUGAGAUGGACCCGCGUCUGAUUAGCCAGUUGGCGGGGUAACGGCCCACCAAAGCGACGAUCAGUAGCCGGCCUGAGAGGGUGAACGGCCACAUUGGGACUGAGACACGGCCCAAACUCCUACGGGAGGCAGCAGUGGGGAAUAUUGCACAAUGGGGGAAACCCUGAUGCAGCGACGCCGCGUGAGUGAAGAAGUAUUUCGGUAUGUAAAGCUCUAUCAGCAGGGAAGAAGUGACGGUACCUGAAUAAGAAGCCCCGGCUAACUACGUGCCAGCAGCCGCGGUAAUACGUAGGGGGCAAGCGUUAUCCGGAUUUACUGGGUGUAAAGGGAGCGUAGACGGCAAGGCAAGUCUGAAGUGAAAGCCCGGUGCUUAACGCCGGGACUGCUUUGGAAACUGUUUGGCUGGAGUGCCGGAGAGGUAAGCGGAAUUCCUAGUGUAGCGGUGAAAUGCGUAGAUAUUAGGAAGAACACCAGUGGCGAAGGCGGCUUACUGGACGGUAACUGACGUUGAG
rnacentral:rRNA from 1 species